UUAAAAAACUUAAUCACAAACUCCUCUCAUUCACACAAGCUUUCCUCAUUUGUUAGGAAACCUGACCACGCUGACCAACAGUUACUCAAUACAACCUGCAGAGGUGCAUUAAGAGCUACACCAGAGGUUGGGAAGUUGGUGAUAAUAGUUCCCUCACAGGCAUUUUUAAUAAAUGAUAAAAAUAACCUUUUUGAUACUUAAAUCAUUUUGCUGCCAAGGGCAUUUAAUCAGGCCCAUUGCCAAAUGCUAAUUAAUGAGACAAGUGCGGGAUUUCAUUUAAAUUUGUUAUACUAAUAUGUCGAAAUAUAAAUAGAAACUGCCAAUUGAGAGGAACCCAUCAAAGGGCAGAACGUGUGAGAUGAAGGAACAGUCACCGAACUUUGACACAAUAGACCUGUUGUGUUACAGAAGAUAAUUGAAAUAGAAACCUUACGAAGAGAUAAUUUAUUUGUAAACAUCUUUUCGUGAGAUUUUAAAAUACUCAAACUACUGAAAACUACAUAAAAUAAUGAGGAUUAUUUUAGGCCAACACUUAUUAAAGAGGAGGAAUUCAACUCAGUUGUGAGGUUACCGCUAGACAUCUCUCUUUCACGGAGAGAUGUUUAUGUCUUCUCUCGGUGUUAGUCCUGAGUUUAUUUUCCAACACUAGCUGUUGGUGAUGUUCUACUUGAGGUCUUGCUGAUUUGCAAAGACAGUUCAUUGUAGGGACAUAGUAUCACCUAUGGCUAAUGGCUAACAAGAUUAAUUACACACUCAAUAGAGCAAUGCUAUACUGCUAAAUCCAGAUAUGUCUGGGAUAUUUAUGAAACAUGUUUUCCACUGAGAAGUACAAUGGUUUGGCUUUUUGCCACUCAUGCUCUUGACGUGUCCCCAUGGCUUUAUUGUGGAUUAGAACGACUGGGUUAGCUAACGGCAGAAGAUAUGCCUAAAGCUAAGAGGAGAGUGGGGGCCACACACUCUUUUAUUCUUACUGGGUGUGAGCAAACGUGGGCAGGCCCAUUUUUCAUCUGUGUGAGUGAAAAGAUUGGAUCUAUAGACCUCUAAACUGUGGUCUGGCAACUAACCACUUCACUUAAUGAACUGAUUAAUUCUGGUUAAAAGAAAUAAGUGCUUUGGGUCAAGGAGCUGUUUAUAAGGAUUGGUUUCAGGGGACUAACUUCAUGAGGUAUAGAGACAGGGAGUGGGGACGCAUAGGUGGUUGACACAUUGAGCAGCAGUGCAAGACAUCACCUGCUCUGUUCUGCUUACUUUGAGGUUUCCCAACUCAGUGCCUUUCAGCUAAUUUUCUCUUCCUAGAGCAAGCUUCCUCAAGUUCAUGCUCCCCUUUACAGUCAUCCAUUAUAUGCCGGUGCAAAUUCCAUUUUCACUGGAAAGACCUUGGGGCACUCCAUCUGGAAUUGAUGCCUCACUCUGCUGAAGAAAGACAUUGAUUAAACUUAAAGUCCAUACAUUUAAAAGAGAUGGCACUCAUUGCCUCAGAUCAUGUGAUACUUGUGAUAUACUAUCUUGUUUGGUAAUUGCUUGGAUACUUAUCUCUUCAAGUGAGAUUUCACAUUCAGAGAAGACAAGGGUGAUACCUUUGCACUUCUUAAGUCUUUGCACAGUUUCUAGCUUGGGAAAUUUGCAUGGUAAAUAGUUGUUGGUGAACAAAUAAAUGAACACAGUGGGUUGAACUCAAAUGAUCAAUGUCAUCACCAAGCUGGUGACCACAGCGUGUCACCCACUCUGUCCAGAAAGGAGCCUCGAUGCAUCUCGUUGAGUGAAACAUUAACUUUUUACCACACGCCCAAAUGGUAUAAACAUCUGGGUGUGCUCAAGAUAGACACAUUCAAGACUGCAUUACCAAAUGACUACAAAAUGCUUGACAAGGCUUUUCAAUGUUUCUUUUUGCUUAUAGAAGAUCUCAGUCAACAUCUGGAAUCCUGUAAGCACUGGGUGAUGUAACUCCCUUGGCAUCCUAAGGGGAUCAUAUCUUUAGUUGCUCUUCUCAAGACCUGACAUCUUCUACCUGGAACCGUAUGGACGACAUAGGCUUUGUACACCUCUUCCCUUUCAGCAAGACGCUGAAAGGACUUGCUCAAGGUCAUUCAGCUUCUUACUGGCAGAGCAACCCAGGUUUUUGCACGUUUGCUACCCCUCAUCUGAAUAUGAUAUAAUUCACAGAUGGCAUCACUGUUUGACCAUCAGACGCAGAAAAAGCCCUUAAUUUCUUGACUCUUUUGUAUACUCUCUGUAUAUCAUCUUGAGCUAUUUUGAUCUUCGUAUAUCAAACACUGAGAGUCUCUACCAACUAGGCCAUUUCACAGAUGAGGAGACUGUACCAAAUAUAAGUUAAAAUCAUUUGCUUGAAAUCAGUGACACUAAGCCCAUGUAGAAAUGAUAGUUACCAUCAUUUGAGCUUUUAUUGUGACAUUUAGUUUUGGCAAAAAAAAAGCAUUUAUUUUUCUCUGCUCUUGCUUGGUUUGGUUCCCUUGGGACCAAUAACAGGCAUUUGAUGAAAAUUGUUACUGUGAACAUUUACCCAACUGUGGAGGCAGAGCAAGGCAUGAUGAUACCGGUAACCCAGAGUUGCUGCUCCUGUCCCUCAUCUGCCCCUGCAGGGCAUGGAGCUUUCCUGCCAAGCCCUCUGCAGGUGUGCGUGGGGUUCCCAGUCAUGACUGGCAGGUGCUGACAACUGAAUGUUUGGCUUUAGAAAUUAAGCAGCAUUACACUGUGUUCCUUGCUUUCUGCAGUGACCUCCUGGCCUCCAGCCCCCAAAGCAAUUUGAGUAAGUCUUUCCAUUGCCAUUUCUAACGGUGGCAGCUGUGAGGCCACUGAUACUUAUGGCAAGUCUCAUCUUUUGCUUCAUCCAAUGAUGCCCACCUGUAGGUUUCUGAGCGGCAAUGGAUCCCACACAGAAAUGGAGACGGGCUCUCUCCCCACGUCUUUGCCUCACUUUCUUACUUAGGUAUACAGUCUCAAAAAGCCUCUUUAGAGAACAGCUCCUUCAAACGUUGGCCCUAAGUCCUCCCCAUCUUGGGAUAUGAUGUGAAUUCAGGUGUCAGGGAAGAGACGGAUACCAUGAUACCUUCUUGUUUUAGUCACUUGGAGCUGCUAUGGCAAAUUGCUGUAGAUUGGGUGGCUUACGCAACAAACAUUCAUUUCUUGCACUUUUGGAGGCUGCAAAUCCAAGAUCAGAUCAGCGUGGCAGCGUGGGAGAGUUCUGGCGAGUUCUCUCUCUUCCAGGUUGCAGGCGGCUGACUGCAGUGUCCUCGCACGGCCGAAAGAGGGCGCCACCUCUCUGGCCGCUUCUGAGGGCCCCAGUCCCAUUCAUGAGUGCGCCAGAGGCCCCGCCUUCAAUGCCGUCAGGUGAGGUUAGGACUUCCACGCGGGAACUUUGAGAGGACACGGACGUUCAGUCCACAACGCCUGUGUUCUUUAUUUCUAUCGCUUCUUCCCCAACCCCCUCCCAUAGUUUCCUAAGACAAAAAAAUUGACAAUUUUUAGUCAAGAAUGUUGUGUGUCUCAGCUCGUGGAAAUAGCUGGUGGAAAGAGUCACAGGCCCUGCUCCUCGGACCAGUGGGCAACACACAAAGGGACGACACUGAGGAAGAGAAUUUGAGGCUUGAGUUGAAAUGAUCAUAUACACAGAAAAGCCACUAUCCCUUCCAACUCUGGAGAAAAUGCCCAAUUAUUUAAAGCCACAAAGCCUGAGUCAGAAAGCAAAUAUAUGGGCCAAGAAAGAUUUACGUAGAUAAUCAACAGUUCACUGCAUAAUAUAUAGCGGAUGCAACCUGGCUCGUUCUCCUGAAUGAGUAAUCAGAAGUAAUGCAAAUUAACACCUUCACCUUGGAAAAAAAUAACUUUAGAAUUCAUCCAGUUUGGUAAACAGAAGAAGUAAUCUUAAUCAUAGUGUUUUAAUGAUAAAGGAUUCAGAGAAAAAGCAAGGGAUCUCUCUCCUACUUUUUUGGAGAAAAUAUACACUCUAAUUAUCUUCCAUUUGUACCAAAAGCGGACAAUUUAAGUUGAGUUGAUCCUACAUUUAAAUG